rnacentral:rRNA from 1 species
GUUAAACGCUGGCGGCGCACAUAAGACAUGCAAGUUGAACGGACUUAAUCGAAAUAUUUAUAUUUUGAAGCGGUUAGUGGCGGACUGGUGAGUAACGCGUAAGGAACCUGCCUAUUAGAGGGGAAUAACAGUGAGAAAUCAUUGCUAAUACCGCAUAUGCCAUAGAUAUCACAUGAUAACAGUGGGAAAGGAGCAAUCCGCUAAUAGAUGGCCUUGCGUCUGAUUAGAUAGUUGGUGGGGUAACGGCCUACCAAGUCGACGAUCAGUAGCCGGACUGAGAGGUUGAACGGCCACAUUGGGACUGAGAUACGGCCCAGACUCCUACGGGAGGCAGCAGUCGGGAAUAUUGCGCAAUGGAGGAAACUCUGACGCAGUGACGCCGCGUAUAGGAAGAAGGUUUUCGGAUUGUAAACUAUUGUCGUUAGGGAAGAGAAAGGACAGUACCUAAGGAGGAAGCUCCGGCUAACUACGUG